CCUCCGCUCUCCCCGCACAGGAGGGCGGAACGAGGCCCGAGGCGCUCUCUGCCCUGACUGCGCCGGGCCUCCGAUCGACCGGCUUCGGGCCGGGGCUUGCUCCUACCGCACGUGGGGCACUUCCCGGCCGGUACACGGGGUCGGUUGAUGUCAGCUCCGGGCUGCGGUGCCGGACAGGUUGAGGGUCCUGUCCCGGCGC
rnacentral:ncRNA from 1 species